rnacentral:rRNA from 1 species
AGAGUUUGAUCCUGGCUCAGGACGAACGCUGGCGGCGUGGAUUAGGCAUGCAAGUCGAGCGACGGAAUACCUUCGGGUAUUUACGGAGCGGCGAACGGGUGAGUAACGCGUGAACAACCUGUCCCUUUGUUCCGGAUAAUUGGGAGAAAUCCCUUGUAAUACGGGCGAGGACGAUCCUUUGGCAUCAUCGGAUCGGGAAACACGAAAGUGGCAUGGGGAGGGGUUCGCGACCUAUCAGGUAGUUGGUGUGAUAACGGCACACCAAGCCAACGACGGGUAGCUGGUCUGAGAGGAUGGUCAGCCACAUUGGAACUGAGACACUGUCCAGACUCCUACGGGAGGCUGCAGUCGAGAAUCUUGGGCAAUGCACGAAAGUGUGACCCAGCGACGCCGCGUGAAGGAUGAAGGCCCUCUGGGUCGUAAACUUCUUUUAAGGGGAAAGAAUGGGCUUCGGCCUUUGACGGUACCCUUUGAAUAAGCCACGGCUAACUACGUGCCAGCAGCCGCGGUAAUACGUAGGUGGCAAGCGUUGUCCGGAUUUACUGGGCGUAAAGCGAACGCAGGCGGACUAUUAAGUAAGAAGUGAAAGGUUGGAGCUCAACUCCGGCACUGCUCCUUAUACUGGUAGUCUUGAGUCUUGGAGAGGAAAGCGGAACGACACGUGUAGCGGAAAUGCGUUGAUAUGUGUCGGAACACCGAUGGCGAAAGCAGCUUUCUGGACAAGUACUGACGCUGAGGUUCGAAAGCCAAGGGAGCGAACAGGAUUAGAUACCCUAGUAGUCC